GUCCACGCCGUAAACGUUGGGCACUAGGUGUGGGGACCUAUCGACGGUUUCCGUGCCGCAGCUAACGCAUUAAGUGCCCCGCCUGGGGAGUACGGCCGCAAGGCUAAAACUCAAAGGAAUUGACGGGGGCCCGCACAAGCAGCGGAGCAUGUUGCUUAAUUCGAGGCAACGCGAAGAACCUUACCUGGGCUUGACAUGUAGGGAAAAGCCGUAGAGAUACGGUGUCCUUUUGGGCCCUACACAGGUGGUGCAUGGCUGUCGU
rnacentral:rRNA from 1 species